GCGGUGGAGCAUGUGGUUUAAUUCGAAGCAACGCGAAGAACCUUACCAGGUCUUGACAUCCCGAUGCUAUUUCUAGAGAUAGAAAGUUACUUCGGUACAUCGGUGACAGGUGGUGCAUGGUUGUCGUCAGCUCGUGUCGUGAGAUGUUGGGUUAAGUCCCGCAACGAGCGCAACCCCUAUUGUUAGUUGCCAUCAUUCAGUUGGGCACUCUAAAGAGACUGCCGGUGUCAAACCGGAGGAAGGUGGGGAUGACGUCAAGUCCUCAUGGCCUUUAUGACCAGGGCUACACACGUACUACAAUGGCCGGUACAAAGGGCAGCCACUUAGCGAUAAGGAGCCAAUCCCGUAAAGCCGGUCUCAGUCCGGAUUGGAGUCUGCAACUCGACUCCAUGAAGUUGGAAUCGCUAGUAAUCGCAGAUCAGCACGCUGCGGUGAAUACGUUCCCGGGCCUU
rnacentral:rRNA from 1 species